CCUGAGAAACCCGAAAGAUCGAAUGGGGAGAUUCAUCGUCAGCGCAUUUGGUAUAUGUGCAGAUUAUGAUGUAAGUUAUCCUUAUGGGAUAAUACUUGCACGUAUUUGUAUCAUUUAAUUGCCGAAUGUCUUCGGCGUGCACUUCUCCUCUAGUAGGACGUCGCGACCCGUUGGGUAUCGGUCUACGACCCAGAUGGUAGUCUUUGAUGUCACCUAUGUGUGCUAUGUUGAAGACCACUGGUGUUAUCUGGCCGAUUGCCCGGCGGUAUUCGCACGGUAUUGAGCCGCAAUAUAAUGCGUCAAACACGCCACAAGCGCGGUCAAUGUUCUGGUAGUUACGGACUUAGUGCCGUCGCUGGGCCUGACCAGCUGUUGGUUGUGCGUGAUUCUUUGACUGGCUCAUUUCAUUAUAUAUUAAUUACCGGUCGGCGACGCUAUUGCUUUGGGUACUUUCAGGACCCGUCUUGAAACACGGACCAAGGAGUCUAACAUGUACGCGAGUCAUUGGGAUUUAUUUUUUUUAAAGAAAACCUAAAGGCGUAAUGAAAGUGAAAGUUGAUCUUGCGUCAACUGAGGGAGGAUGAGUUACGUUACGAUGUAUCUCCGCACUACCCGGGGUGUCUCGUUCUUAUUAUAAGAAGAGGCGCACCUAG
rnacentral:rRNA from 1 species